GACGAACGCUGGCGGCGUGCUUAACACAUGCAAGUCGAACGAUGAAGCCUAGCUUGCUAGGUGGGUUAGUGGCGAACGGGUGAGUAAUACGUGAGUAACCUACCGUUAGCUCUGGGAUAAGCCCGGGAAACUGGGUCUAAUACCGAUUACGACCAAUCGCCGCAUGGGGGGUUGUUGGAAAGCGUUGUGUAGUGGUUAUAGAUGGGCGGACGGCCUAGCAGCUUGUAGGUGGGGUAACGGAUCACCAGGUCGAAGACGGGUAGCCGACCUGGGAGCGUGAACAGGGACACUGGGCCUGAGACACGCAGCAGACUCCUAUGGGAGGCAGCGGUGGGGAAUAUUGCACAAUGGGCGCAAGCGUGAGGAAGAGAUCUUGCGUGAGGGAUGACGGCCUUCUGGUGGUAAACCUCUGUUAGCAGGGAAGAAGAGAGAUUGACGGUACCUGCAGAGAAAGCGCCGGCUAACUACGUG
rnacentral:rRNA from 1 species